ensembl:lncRNA
CAUUUGUUAAAACACACAAUACACGAUAUGGACAUUCACAGACAGGAAGCUAAGCUAAGAUGGUUUCAUGUCCCUCCCCCCACCCUCAAAAUUAACAAAGAAAUCAUGGGACUUGCAAGUGCCAGAAAUUGUCCUGCCCCACACUGCAGAUUCACGGGGCUCAGUCCCGUAGGAGGUGAGACAGUGUCGGUGCCCAGGGUAAACCCUUUUCAAAACCGAAACCAGAAAUCUCUUGAAGCCACACUUCUGUAGAGAGGACAAGCUGAUGACCUCCACCUCUGCCCUCAUCCCUGCCUCUCUCUGCUGUCCUCGGAGGACAGAGAUCAAAGGGUGACGAGAUCUUAGCAACUCUUAGAAGUACAGACUGUGUGUCUGGAGCUGGUGGGAAAGGUGACACGGAGAUGCCAAUAAUUUUGAGGAAAGGAUGCCUCAAAGCAGCUUUGGGAGGCAGGAUUGUGGGCUUGGGACCCUGCAAAAGGGCAGCAGGACAGAGCAACCAUAUCUCAAGUCCUCCACAAACCCCAACCCCGGGAAGGAGAACUAGCUGGCAGCCUGUGGCACCUGUCAGUGGAAAGGUGAAAUCCCAAGGGACUUCUGGCACCCGUGGUUGAAAUCACGAAGAAAAGGGUUACUAGGCUUUGGACUACUGCACCCCUUUGCCCAGUGGUUUAACUAUCUUACAGGUUCCUCCCCCCUCCCCCCUCGAAUACAAUAAGCAAUCGCAAACAGGAUACGUCUCACCACUGAAGUCAAUUUAAAUGGAAUUAUUGAUAAAGUGAGUGGAGAGCUUGAGGGGACCAGGUGGAAGAGGGACACCGACUCCGGAGGAAAUGGGGGUAGGGGUGUGCCGGCUCUGGGGGGAUUGUCCUCAUUUAAGGUUACAAGCCAGCAUCCCUUCGCAGACUCCCUGCCAGCAACUUGACCUGAUCACCUAAACCACGAUCUUCAGGCUGAUCCCAACACAGGCGAUUCCAGAGCCCUCUGGGAAGGAAGUACUUGGAAAGCCAGACACGAGACUGCAAGGAGGGGUGCAAGGAAUGUGGCCAAAAUCGGUGGCAGGAAGGAGGGGCCACAUCUCUCAUAUCUUUACACCAUGUUUCCUCCUCCAGAACCCUUCCAAGACCAGCUGGGACUCAGGACCGAGGAGAGGCUCGAGGGGGGGGGGACGCUGGGGCCCAUGUGAUGCCUAGCAUGGAAUGCUCUGAUUGCAAAUGGAGCAGCGGCCCUGGACUCCGACCCUCCCAGCCCCACAGGCUUGCCUUUGACUGUUCCCACACCACAAGUGGCAGGCCUGGACCGAGGCUGAGAUUUCCUUUAAACAGCAGAUUUUGACAAAGGCUGCUUCCCUUGUCCCCAUGGCAGGAGAGGGUCGGCAAGUGUAUUCUGACUUGUUACCACAUCAGGAAGCUGGGGCCCCCUGGGGCUGGUCGUUCAUCCCAGGGACCGUAGGGGCCCUGGGUGGGCAGCUGGACCAUCCUUCCUGAGGGAGAGCUUGGAGCUGAGGGGUGGGCUGCAGAUCUUGCCCCAGUAGGCACUCGUGAUGCGGGGAACUGUCCAACCCUCUCUCGGGGCUGCAAUGGGGCUUCUCUGGGGCCAUCUUCACCGCAAGACACGUGCCCUCUGCCUGACAGAAGGGAGCCCCGGGUCAGGGAGGGGGGACUGGAGCUGCUGUCCUCUCCUGGGCUUCAGGUGUUCACAGCCGAGGGUUCCCCAGUGUCAGGAGCUGGUCUCUGUUGGGUCCCCGAUGCUGAUGGAAAUCUUUCAUCAACUGGGAGAGCCACAUGGGCCUUCUGGAUCUGAGUCCCCGCUGUGGGGUGAGAGACACCUAGGACUCCCACGAGGGCGGGUUAGAAACCUCUUUACAAGCAUUUCAAGAUACAUGCGUCCUUUUUUUUUUUUUUUUCUUUUCACUAUCAUAGUCACUCUGGUGAAUCCAAGCAUAAACAGACAAAUCAGACUACAAGGCGACAGGGUGUGGACGGGGAGGGGAGGGCGACAUCUAUGUAUAUGUUCAGCUGCUCCAGGACAGACCACCCUGCUUCCCGCUGGGACAGGGCGGGGAAGAACCAGUUCCGAGGGGGCACGUUUCCCUUUACGGGGUGCGGAGGGCUGAUGACACAGACUUGGGGUCGAGCAGCGGCUGGGCUCCAAGAGGCUGGCAGUCACAAGCUGGGGCAGAAGUGGGGGACAACGGGGGCGUGGUCCUGCCCUCGGGGCCUUGCCCGCCUGCCCCAGGGCCAUGGCAGGCAUCCGGGACGGCCAGCCUGCUGCCAGCUCGGCACUGGACGGGGAUCGGGCCCAGACAAGGCAUGGACAUCCAGGGUCACUGCGAACCCCACCCUGGCUUGCGACUGUGAUGGCGGUGGGGGCAGGGAACUGAGUAAGGUCGUGGGGGCCUUCGUGAGGGACACAGCUGGAUGCCUAUAACUCAGACAGAUGGAGGUUCCUGGUGUCCGGACCUCGCCCUCCUUGACUUCCCCCUUGGUAUAAAGCAGGUGUCGCCCCAUCAGAACAAUGUCCAUUACCGAGAAGGGGUGGGUGGUGGGGCGGGGAACUCGGGACAGCGUGACGUAGUGAGGGGACAGGCAGUGACCAGGCUCCGCACGGCAGACACACAGGCGUGGUGGGGGCAGACGCAGGGCUGCAUGGCCGUGGGAAGGAGGAGAGGUUUAGGACCGGAGGCCCAGGCUUGGAAACAGGCAGGUGCUCCCAAGAGGCACAAGUCCUUACAAAGAGAACUGGUUAGCCCUAAGUUCCAGAUCUGUGAGGUGGCCAAAAACGCGGCUGCAGUUCCCACCUUCAGAACUCAACAAAACGGGGGGUUCCAGGGGGCGGAGGGAAGCCCCUCAGCUCAGGAGCCCCCACCCACCCUGCGAGAAGCGAGGAAGAGGCCAGCGCUCGGUGGUCUUUUCCAAGGAGGUGACCCACACGACGUC